UGGGGGAUAUUGCACAAUGGGCGAAAGCCUGAUGCAGCGACGCCGCGUGGGGGCUGAAGGCCUUCGGGUUGUAAACUUCUUUUGCUCUGAACAAGGCGCACCAUGGGGUGUGUUGAGUGUAGGGGUUGAUUAGCGCCGGCUAACUACGUGCCAGCAGCCGCGGUAAUACGUAGGGCGCGAGCGUUGUCCGGAAUUAUUGGGCGUAAAGGGCUUGUAGGUGGCUGGUUGCGUCUGUCGUGAAAGCUCAUGGCUUAACUGUGGGUUUGCGGUGGGUACGGGCGGGCUGGAGUGCAGUAGGGGAGGCUGGAAUUCCUGGUGUAGCGGUGGAAUGCGCAGAUAUCAGGAGGAAUACCGGUGGCGAAGGCGGGUCUCUGGGCUGUUACUGACACUGAGGAGCGAAAGCAUGGGGAGCGAACAGG
rnacentral:rRNA from 1 species